ACACCUGGCUGUACAUUGUGGUUUUGAUUUGUGUUUUCCUGGUAGCUAAUAAUGUCAAGUAUCUUAUCACAUGCUCAUCAGCCAUUUGUAUAUUUUCUUUGGCAUUCUUUGUUUUCCUGUCCCCAAGGCAAUAGGCCUUUGCCCAUCUGAGCUUUUGCUUAGAAUGACAUAGUUGACCUAACUUAGACUUGGAUUGCCUUUCCUCCACUUUCUAUGAUUCCUCCCUUCACCCAUCCCCCAGGGAAAGUUAAU
rnacentral:lncRNA from 1 species